rnacentral:lncRNA from 1 species
UUGAAUGUCAUAAACAAAGAAUGGAUAAAAGAGCUGCAGGAAUUCGAAGAGUGAUAUGGAUUUGCAUGCGCAAUCAACAAAAUAAAGGAAAGGUAACAAAGGUAAAGGAGGCUACAACAAUUCGACUGGUCGAAAUCAGCAAGAAGGAAAUUGGUCGAAUCAUAGAAAACCUUGGAACCAAGGAAACCAAAGAGGUGAUGUUGUAGGUAGAGGAAGAGGUGGUGGCGAAAGUCAGACAAGAGUCAUAUUCAGUGUUAUAAUUGUCAGAAGCAUGGUCACUAUUCUAG